UACGAAGGGGGCGAGCGUUGUUCGGAUUUACUGGGCGUAAAGGGCGCGCAGGCGGCUUUGUUUGUCAGGCGUGAAAGCCCCGGGCUUAACCUGGGAACUGCGUUUGAUACGGCAGGGCUAGAGUUCGGGAGAGGAGAGUGGAAUUCCCAGUGUAGAGGUGAAAUUCGUAGAUAUUGGGAAGAACACCGGUGGCGAAGGCGGCUCUCUGGACCGAUACUGACGCUGAGGCGGCGAAAAGCGUGGGGAGCAAACAGG
rnacentral:rRNA from 1 species